rnacentral:rRNA from 1 species
UUCCUCUGCCGCUAUAAUCUUAAUGUUCUCCUUGCAACCCAGACCCUCCAGAGUUAUAUAGGGGGCGUUUUACUCCGCCCUUUUAAGAUGUCCCCGCCGCGCGUAUCAAGCCGCUCACCCACAGGCCGGAGCCGACUACUGUGGGGUCGUCCGCGGUUAAAGUGGUGUUCUUCUCCGACUUUCACCUCAUUAUUGGCGAUGGGCGCUAUCUGCGUCGGACCGGAAAGUCUCAUCACUUCACCCCUGCCAAAUCACUUUCCCUCACUACAAGGCUAUGAUCCCCCCCGCGAGCCCAGAAACCCCUUAAUCCAUGGGAAGUAAAAAAUCGUAACAAGGUUUCCGUAGGUGAACCUGCGGAAGGAUCAUUACCGAGUUGAUUCGAGCUCCGGCUCGACUCUCCCACCCCAUGUGUACCUACCUCUGUUGCUUUGGCGGGCCGCGGUCCUCCGCACCGACCCCCGUUCGGGGGGCCGGCCAGCGCCCGCCAGAGGACCACAAAACUCCAGUCAGUAAACGUCGCAGUCUGAGAAACAAGUUAAUAAACUAAAACUUUCAACAACGGAUCUCUUGGUUCUGGCAUCGAUGAAGAACGCAGCGAAAUGCGAUAAGUAAUGUGAAUUGCAGAAUUCAGUGAAUCAUCGAAUCUUUGAACGCACAUUGCGCCCCUUGGUAUUCCGAGGGGCAUGCCUGUUCGAGCGUCAUUUCAACCCUCAAGCUCUGCUUGGUAUUGGGCUCCGUCCUCUGUGGACGCGCCUCGAAGACCUCGGCGGUGGCGUCUUGCCUCAAGCGUAGUAGAAAACACCUCGCUUUGGAGCGCACGGCGUCGCCCGCCGGACGAACCUUUGAAUUUUUCUCAAGGUUGACCUCGGAUCAGGUAGGGAUACCCGCUGAACUUAAGCAUAUCAAAGGCCCCGAGAGGAA